rnacentral:rRNA from 1 species
GGAGGAUCAUUAUCGUAGGGCUUCGGCCCUGUCGAGAUAGAACCCUUGCCUUUUUGAGUACCUUUCGUUUCCUCGGCAGGCUCGCCUGCCAAUGGGGACCACAAAAAACACUUUGCAGUACCUGUAACAGUCUGAACAAACAAACAAAAAUUAAAACUUUCAACAACGGAUCUCUUGGUUCUGGCAUCGAUGAAGAACGCAGCGAAAUGCGAUAAGUAGUGUGAAUUGCAGAAUUCAGUGAAUCAUCGAAUCUUUGAACGCACAUUGCGCCCUUUGGUAUUCCUUAGGGCAUGCCUGUUCGAGCGUCAUUUAAACCUUCAAGCUAAGCUUGGUGUUGGGUGACUGUCCGCUUCACGGCGGACUCGCCUCAAAAUUAUUGGCGGCCGGUACAUUGGCUUCGAGCGCAGCAGAAACGCGAACUCGGGCCCGUCGUAUUGGCUCCCAGAAGCUAUCUUCACAAUUUUGACCUCGGAUCAGGUAGGGAUACCCGCUGAACUUAAGCAUAUCAAUAAGCGGAGCA